UUAACUGGGACUUGGACGUUUGGAUCUAAUCGGGAUCUACAGAGGAUAUUCGUAGUGCAAUGGGUACAAGUACACCACAGCUGACAAAGGCUUACUCGAUUCUAAAAGCGAUGUUCUGUAGUGCGAAAGCUCACACAUCAGGCAAGUAAUAUUAAGUUAAGGAUAGUGAUUCAUUAGUCAUAUACUAUGUAUUUAUUUCCGUAUUGUUUAUUUUUCCGCAUUUGUUGGCUAUUUAACUCCCGAAACAUGCGUCUUCAUUCCAGGUUUUCGGACGUUUCCCAUAUGUCGUCACCAUAUCUGACACGAAUAACGACACCGUAUUUGAAUGUCUCUCGGCGAAACGUACGGAGUAUGAUCCCGAAGCCAAGAAGGUUACUUACGUUGUCAUUUUUAAAGGACACCACGGUGGACAAAAGAAGAACGUCGCUUUCCACGCCAGCGAGGGUCCAUCUCCAAGCACUGUUGAACUUACCGAAGACGAGCAUCCUGAUCACGCUGAAACGGCAGAAAUCCGCUACACCGAUUACGAUACUUGCUUUAUCGUCAAGUUUCUGUACUUCGGAGAGCAAUGUUUCCUCUACGUGCCUAAGGAGAUGGAAGACAACGUACCUCGUCAUUGCAUAGACCACUUCGCCGCCAUCUGUGGUGUCGCAGUUCCUACGUACAGCAAAGACCUCUGCCCUGAUGAUGAAGAAGACAACGUUUAGGCUUCCAUCAUACACUAAAUAUAUUCUGCUAAAAAGUAUUAUGUGGAGAGAGAAGUAACGCACUUAACUCAUUAAAAGCACGGCA